rnacentral:snRNA from 1 species
GGAUGUGAGGGCGAUCUGGCUGCGACAUCUGUCACCCCAAUGAUCGCUAGGGUUGAUUUGGCUGAUCUGGCUGGCUAGGCGGGUGUCCCCUUCCUCACCGCUCCAUGUGCGUCCCUCGCGAAGCUGCGGGCUCGGUCGAAGAGAACGACUUUCCCCGAUAGAGGAGGAUCUUUCUUCGGUCUAGGGUAUACGAGUAGCUGCGCUCCCCUGCUAGAACCUCCAAAGAAGCUCUCAAGUUAGUGUUUCAAUUCCUUUGGACAUAUUUCCCAAAAUGGAUUGCUGGGUCAUAUAGUAAAUCUAUUUUUAAUUUUUU